UGGGGAAUAUUGGACAAUGGGCGCAAGCCUGAUCCAGCCAUGCCGCGUGAGUGAUGAAGGCCCUAGGGUUGUAAAGCUCUUUCGGCGGGGAAGAUAAUGACGGUACCCGCAAAAGAAGCCCCGGCUAACUUCGUGCCAGCAGCCGCGGUAAUACGAAGGGGGCUAGCGUUGUUCGGAAUCACUGGGCGUAAAGGGCGCGUAGGCGGAUCCUUAAGUCAGGGGUGAAAUCCUGGAGCUCAACUCCAGAACUGCCUUUGAUACUGAGGAUCUCGAGUUCGGGAGAGGUGAGUGGAACAGCGAGUGUAGAGGUGAAAUUCGUAGAUAUUCGCAAGAACACCAGUGGCGAAGGCGGCUCACUGGCCCGAUACUGACGCUGAGGUGCGAAAGCGUGGGGAGCAAACAGGAUUAGAUACCCCUGUAGUCC
rnacentral:rRNA from 1 species